AUUGAACGCUGGCGGCAGGCCUAACACAUGCAAGUCGAGCGGAGCGGCGGACGGGUGAGUAAUGCCUAGGAAUCUGCCUGGUAGUGGGGGAUAACGUCCGGAAACGGGCGCUAAUACCGCAUACUAUCAGAUGAGCCUAGGUCGGAUUAGCUAGUUGGUGGGGUAAAGGCCUACCAAGGCGACGAUCCGUAACUGGUCUGAGAGGAUGAUCAGUCACACUGGAACUGAGACACGGUCCAGACUCCUACGGUAGGCAGCAGUGGGGAAUAUUGAACAAUGGGCGAAAGCCUGAUGCAGCCACGCCGCGUUAGUGAAGAAGGUUUUCGGAUUGUAAAGCACUUUAGGUUGGGAGGCGUUACCUACCUAAUAAGCACCGGCUAACUACGUGCCAGCAGCCGCGGUAAUUC
rnacentral:rRNA from 1 species